AUGGCACAACCGCUACAGUUCGUCCUGGUGCCGCUCCUUGCACCGGGCCACGUGAUCCCCGUGCUCGACCUGACGCGCCUCAUCGCCGGCCGCGGCGGCGCGCGCAUCACUGUGGUCCUCACGUCCGUCACUGUCGCGCGCAACAGGGCCAUCCUAGAGCCUGCUUUCUGCGAGGGGCUCGCGGUCAACAUGGCCGAGCUCCAGUUCCCGGGGCUGGUGUUGGGGUUGCCCGAGGGGUGUGAGAGCCACGACAUGGUCACUGAGCUAUCCCACUUUACGCUCUUCUAUGAAGCCGUGUGGCUACUCGCCAGGCCGCUGGAGACGUACCUCCAGGCGCUGCCACGACGGCCGGACUGCCUCAUCGCCAACACUUGCAACCCGCUAACGGCUGACGUGUCGUGCCGGCUUGACAUUCCACGAUUUGUGUUCCACGGCCCCUCAGCAUUCUUCCUCCUAGCGCAGCGCCUGGCCAAGCACGGCGUGCACGACAACAACAGCGUCGCCGGCGACUUCAAGCGGUUCGAGGUGCCCGAUUUUCCCGUGCGCGUCGUCUCGAGCAAGGCCACGUCGCUUGGGUUCUUCCAGUUUCGUGGGCUGGAGAGGGAAAUGCAUAACACGCUGGACACCAAGGGAUAUGGAGAGGCGCUCGAACGGAAGCUCGGCAUUAAUCGCCGGCGCCGAUUCGCACGCCGCCGCCUGGCCUUCUGCGCCCUUGACCGCUCGGCUGGCCCGGCAUUGAUCACCGGCGCCGAUUCGCACGCCGCCGCCUGGCCUUCUGCGCCCUUGACCGCUCGGCUGGCCCGGCAUUGA
rnacentral:rRNA from 1 species